CGGGGAGGGGGCCAUGCAAAAAGGUAAGACCAGGUUAGCGCUGCUCGGCCCUGAGUGGGCUGCGGCCGGGGGAGGGGCGAGAGAUACAUAUGUAUUUCUGUCUCCCCAGCACACCCCCUUCCCUCUAAGCGAUGGCUGAGAGGCGGUGCAUGCAGAUGGGGAGUAAGUUUCCUGGAGGGGAGGAGGGUGGAUGCACGCGCGCAGCCCGGCGCUGCAAAUUUCCACCGGGGAGGGAGAGAGUGGCUGGAUGCGGAGAGUUUGGAGUUGGAGGGCAAGGAAGGGAGCAGGGCCUGGGGGAGGGGGGAAAGAGGGGUGCUAUUGGUGCUGUAUCUGGGAGUAAGUUUCCAAGGACGAGAGAGCCUGCACGCUUGCUUGCUAGCUACUCGGCUCGCCCCCCAUCUCACCCCCCCAAGUGGAGAUUGGUCGUCUUGUCGGAUUGCCCAGGCACUUGUUGCCGAAACAGCCAAGGUAGGCGAAAAGCUUAUUAAGUUUCAUUUAAAAAAAUAGUUGGGAGGAGGGAUGCUCCGUAAGAAGAUGGGGGUGGAGUGUGGAGGGAAGCCUGCGGGGGACACAGAAAGACAAGUCUCCCGCGGCCUCUUUACUUUCAGUACGUUAGCAGGGCCUUUUCCCUGCUCGCCUUCUUCCCUGUUCCCUCUCCGGGCUCAUAGCAUCCCAGCAAAGGGGGAGGGGUGAGGUGGGCGGUGUAACUGGCAAACCCCAGCUUAAAGGGUGUCGGUGGUGGGUUUGAAAUUGAAGGUUGGUAUAUUAUAAAGCCUCCAUUCUUCCAGCCAAGAAACCGCAGGACCCUAGGGAUGUGUCUUUUGGGGUUUUUGACAUGAUGCAUAUGUGUAUAUAUGUGAGUCUGCGGGCUCUGUGGGGGCUGGGUAGUCCCCAGAAGUAAGUGUGGCCACCCAGGUGGGAGAAGUGUAUAAGCAGGCGAACUUGCCUCUUCACUCCCCAACUUCAGUCUGUGAGUCUGGGAAGUUACUGCUGGUGGGCUGAAGAAGCAGAAAUUAGAAACCAAAGCACGGUUUUACCCACGGAGGCAGGCUGACAGCACCUGGCAGGCAGCCUCUGGCCAGCGCCUGGCUGGAGCUUGCAGCCCGCCAUCCUUGGGUUAAAGAAGAAAAAAAUAUGCCUUGGGGUUCCGGGCAGGUUAGAGUCAGCUUGCUGUCAAACUCCUCAGACAAAUGUUGCUUUGGUAAGUGAAGUGUUUGUGUUGUAGUCAGUGCUUGGUCUUUCGUGGUCCUGGACUGUCUUGCUAAGUGUGUGGAAGUCAUGCUUCAACAUGACCAGUUCAGGCAUGGCCCAAGACGUCAGCAGAGCAUGCCUGGGAGAAGCAGUUUCCUUGGCGUUUUCCUCAGGCAGCCGAGGUGAUUUAAAAAAAAAAAAAAAAGAAAAAAGAAAAAUAGAAAGAAAGAAAGAAAGAAAGAAAGAAAGAAAGGAAGGAAGGAAGGAAGGAAGGAAGGAAGGAAGGAAGGAAGGAGUUUUACAUUGUCCCAGGCAGUGACAAUCUUUUGCUUGCACCCUCGGUACUUCUCAUUCAAGGAGUUCUGUGGGGAAGUGUGCUUUGUGGCCCACUCCGACAAGAUGCUUGGAGGAGCCAGCACUUAACUAGUUAAACCAGCAGUCUGCCUCUCCUUGCUUGCUUUCUUGGCUCUCAGCCUACUGGGUUCUGCAGAUCCUUUAACUUUGAUGGGUGCUGGUGUGGGGAGUUGAACUUGGCCUGGAGAAUUUGAGCACCAGGGGGUCUGGCCAGGAACUGGUUAGUAGGGAUAUGGCAUAACCACCCAACACUGAGGUUAACUAAAGUCGGUUAAGCUUUCCUGAGUUCUGUAAACAGGUUUUGAGUUUAGAAAGGGAAAAUGGGUUAAAAAACAAAAUAAAACAAUAACAACACCCCCCCCCCUUAUGUUA
ensembl:lncRNA